AUUUAAAUUUCACUUCAAUUACUUCAUAAUCUUUUAUCUGGUGCAUGAUAAUAAAACUAUUUAAUUUUUAACAAUUUGUUGUAGGCAUUGCUUAUGGAUUGUGGGGAAUGGAACCACUCUGUUCAACAAUCUGACUGUUGACUUGAUGGAUCAGAUUAUGGAUUUUCCUGUUGACCCAAUCAUGGCAGCUAAGGCCUAUAAGUAUAAAGCAGAAAUACUUCUUAAGGAAUACUUGCUAGCAGAUUCAUAUGUUCUAUACACUUCUGUGCUCGCGGGGCUUCUGAUGUGCAACCAAGAUCAAGAUUGGGAUCAAUGGGUUCGGUAGGAUCGGAAGGCUGGUGGCCAGGGUGGCCCUACAGAGUGACGAUGUCGAGCUCGUCGUCGUGAACGACCGCUUCAUCAGCACCGACUACAUGCUGGGCUGAUGAGGUGUGAAAUAUGUGUGGUGGUUUCGGCGUGGGAGGACCGCGAAAGGCGAUGCCUUUCAGCAGCAUGAUCCAGGAGAUGAAGGGCGAGAUCGGCGCCAUCGUGUCGCGCGGCGUGCUACGGUUCCGGCCAGGGGGCCACGCCGGGGCCGGGCGAGCGCCGGCAGCCGAGCUGGACGAGGCGCCGCGGGAGGGCUGCUGGGCGCAGUUGCCUCUCGAUCUUCUGCGUAUGAUUAAUACCAUGGGAGUGAUAUAGAGAUGGUUCUACCAAUCAUGGUUGGAGGUUACACAGACUUCUUUUGUUCUAUGCUCCAUACAAGGAAUUGUGGAUUCAUCUUCCGAGGGUCGUAGACUCCGAUCAAUCCAAAUUGAUAUGUGUUUUCUUGGUCAAUCAUGGUUGGAUUCAUCUUCCGAGGAUCUAGACUCCACUAAGACUGUCCUUUGACAAGCUGGAGGGUGUUGAGGUUGCAUGGAGUCAGUCAAGGAUCAACGACUCUGUCAUGGUUUGCUCAUAGAAUAUGGAGCAGCUAAGCACAGAGAUCCAACUGCUGAGGACCUUCAGGCACAAGAACAUUGUCAAGCUGUUUGCCUCUUGGAUCGAUGAGGACAAGGACAUUGUAAAUAUCAUCAUAGAGUACUUCACAUCAGGCAGCUUGAGACAGUACAUGUUGUUUCUUUCGUUCGUUCCACUUCUGAAUGUUCAUACCAAACAUCUCUCUGUGUUUCUAUUCUCAACCAAAUUGGUGACAUCAUGCAAGCUGUGGCAUCAAGUAGGAGAGUCAUUCAAACCUCCAAAGACAUGCACAACCGUUUCAUGGACUUUCUAUAACUUCUAUGAGAAGAGAGAGCAAGAUUGAUAAAAAGACUUGCCAAAAUCAAAGAGGAGCAGGGACAGAUUGAUGAGGCUGUUGGUUUGAUGUAAGAAGUUGUAAGUUUGCACCAUACUGAAUUUGGACCAGCGUACCGGAUUUGUCAAGGCUACGCUUUGAUUGAAUACGAGAAGUUUGAAGAAGUUCAGGUUGCAAUAAAAGAUCUGGAUGGAGCUGACCUUUAUAAACAAAUAAUGAGUGUUGAUUGGGCAUUUAGCAGUGGCCCUGCUAAACGCAAACAUACUCGGAAAUGGUCACCACCAAGAGCUCGUUCAAGGACCCCACCCAGGAGAAGGCACUGAUGUUUUCCCAGCACCUCGUGAACUACUUGCUAUGUGUGAUGUACAAUAAGAAGUCUAAGGAUUCGAAAUAUUACCUUGGUGUAUGUGGAUCACCUGAUUUCGAUGGUGGUUAUUAAAUUGCCUGAUGUUUCCUUAUUUGGGACUCCAAAUAUUAGCUUUGAACUCUGGUUUAAGUUGAUGAGACAUGGAGGUGCACUUAGACGCUUACCAUUAUGUUUGGCAUGUUAGUUGGAGACGAUUGUAAGUCAGUCCACGUCACGUCCGAACUUG